rnacentral:lncRNA from 1 species
CGGCGCUGGCUCGGCGCUCGCCGCCCCGUAACUUGUGCCGUGGGAAGCGGCGCCAGGAAUAGCCCGGCCGCGCCGCGAGCUGCGAGCCCUGCCUCGCCUCCCCGCUCCUCUCCUCUCCCCUCCUCUCCUCCUUCCCGGCCCCGGCCGCCGCCUCGCCCCCGUCAGUGCCGCGGUGAUGCUGGUGCGUUCCCGGCGGAGGGGCAGCGAUGAGCUCCCUUAAGAUCAAUACGCGAGACAGACGCCCCUUGGCCGCUGGAAUAUCUCUGCCUGGCCUUAUAUAAAGACACGCCGCCGGGCCGCCGAGCUCCGGGCACACGGAGCGUCCGGCGGGAGCACCAGCACCGCCGCCAGCAGCAGCAGCAGCAGCAAGGGCACCGGGAGGGCUCCGCUCCCUCCUCCUCCUCCUCCUCCUCCGCCACUUCCCAGGUGGGACCCUCUCCUGAUAUGUGAUCUGCAGCGAGCAACCCUGAAUCAUACGAUGACAAUGUUAUCAUUGCCACAUCUCUGGGAACCAGUUAUUCAUAAGUAUACGGAUUGUCUACUUAAGAAGCUGAGAGUGAGCUAGAAACAUUGAUGAAGCCUCAAUAUUGUGAGGUGGGUAUGCAUUUUUAUUACUAUUUUGCAAAAACAUAGAAAAUUCAAACCAUUUGCCCAAGUCCAGACAGUGCUAUUUAAGAGCUCUGAACAGACUCCAGAAGUUUUCUACCCCAGCACAUGUUCUGACUGAUCGAUACCUUAUGAAUAAGGUCUUCAUGUGCCCUCCUGUUGAAGGAAGUGAUGAGGUUUUGCAUUCUGUUAUCAUUUGAAGAGCUUCUUUUAAUUUUUGAUUUCUGACUAAUGGAAUAAGUGACUCUCACAGAUACUUGUGCUCCACUGCCUUCCUGCCCCUGGUGUGCAGUGCAUUUAGAUCACAUUUUUGGGAGAAGGCAAUUUAUGAUAGGGGAGUCAGUGGAAAACAAAAAUAUCCACUGGAUCCAGGCCAAACAUAAUCUGGGGUUCAGAAAUGUUUAGUGUGUUUCAUUACUUAUUUAUUUAUUUAUUUAUUUUAGCCUUUUGUCACAGUCAAAUGCACCAUCAGGCUUUUAAUAAAUCCCCUUGUGUGUGAGACUUGCAACUCAGGUUUGAAGACCUAUGAGGGCUGGAUAAUUUGAAUAACUGUGAGAAGUGAAACUGAGCAUUCGUAGGUCCAUCAGCUACAAGCUGCAAAACCAGUGCGUUGUUGUAAUUUUGAUAGUCUUUGUCAUUACGGGAUGCUGCAUGCAAAACUGUUGCAAGCUCUGCUUGCCCCAAGCAAGAGUGGCUCGGAUGUGGAGCCUCUGUGUUUCCGCGGGCCGUGCUUGUCACCCACCCUAGCUCGAGGGGCCCCACUUGCAGGGGACCUGUUUUAGGCAGCAGCCUGGAGAAACUCUCUCUGAGGCUCUUCACUUAAUUACAGUGGUUUCCCUUUUGGCUUUGUGAGAGAAACCCAGUGAGGGUGCUUUUGCCUUCUGCUGCACUCCAUUGGGAUCCUGGAUCUGCUGUGACAAGGAAUGAGUCAGGACUGGAAUUUGUCUCUUAAAGGAUUUUGUUUUUUCUUUAAACUGGUGUUUGCCUUUGAAAGCCUUUUUUUUUGAAUAAAUUACUUUGACAGUAAGUACCAGAAUAUAUAUUGAUAAAACAUGAAUUUAUGCCUGCCAGCAUUUAUCUGUUUUGUGUCUAUUCACAAAUACAGAUAAAUUUCCCCAGCUGCCAGUUUCUGCUUACCUGCAUGAACAAAAAGCAGACAGAGUGCUGGGGCACAAGCUGAAGGUGGGUGUAGCUGAGAAGUUAUAUUCAAAAUCUUCUUCUCUGUGACAUCAUUGUGGCUCCUCAAGUAUCUUUCAGUUCAUAUGGAAAAUGCAUUUAAAAUAUGACACAGUUUGAUGCUAAUGUUAGCUUCACACUCUUCUGAAAAAGGAAUGAAAAUGCUCAGAGGACAAGUUGCCUAUGUGCAGUUUUGGUUUCUGGGUAAUAUGAGUGGUGCAAAAACUUUUGUUACCUUAGAAACUUUUUAGUAAGCAGUAUGGUUGUUAAUUAACAUCACUUUUAUUUUAAAUCUGAAUUUUGGACUUUGUUGAAUUGGAGAUGAUAGGCCUACUUGUAAUCUGCUCGAUAGGGCUGUAACAAGUUGAGAUACCUCCAGCCUGAGACUUUCAAUUUUCCAAAGAUAAGCACCAUUUAUUUUGCUCAGUUCUAAAGCAUUUGAGUUUAAAAUCUAUGUUGAAAUUUGUAAUAUAUCAUUUGACUGAAAUUAUGCAAAUCCAUUGCCAUAGCGUAAUAUGCUGUAAGACCUCUGGAAGGGAAACCACCCGCUUGUUCUUUCACGGGGUGCCCACAAGUGAUGCGUGGAUGCACAUCCUCCUGUGACAAUGUUGCCUGACGCUUUGCAACCUGCCUUGCAUUGCCCCAAAAUCCGAGUCAGUGGCUUCACCCCUUUGGUUUGAACAGGCUCGUCAGUGUCCAAAACUGAAAAGUCACGAUCUACUGCUAGCUGCUGUAGUCAUUAAUCAAUGAUUUCGUUAUUGGUUAUCAUUAUUUUGGCUUCUGCAGUCCUGUGCGUGGGCAGCUAGUUGGUUUUCCGGUGUUGCUAGAGCUCCAGUCAGCUGAGGAGGGAGCUGAAAUCAUCACAGCCAAUUUGGAGAUUUCUUUGGGGAGAUUCUUGAGUGCCCAUGCCUUUCGAAACAAAAUCCAAGGCCUCAACUUUCUAUCCUUGUUGUGGCAUUAGGGCAUGCUGUCAACUUCAGAGCAGCUAGAUCAGCUUUUAAAAACAUUGAGGUGGUUAAACAGAGAGAGAACUAGCGAAGGAGGAACAGAAAGCAAAAGCUGACUGGAAGAAAAUUUAAAACUGCAGAAGAUUCUGGAAUACUUCACCUGUGCUCUGAGCUGGAACAAAACCUUGAGACUUCUCACACAGUAAGACAUCUUAGUCCAGAACUCCCUAAAGGUUGCUUCAGUUUUAUUUGCUGAAAAACAUUGUGAUGGCAUGCUAGUGUUCCAGCUCAUCUCUUAGUCUCAUUAAGGAGUAAUUCAUCAAGUAGUGCAAUCCUACUGGUAAAAUAUUAGUAUUGAAGUGUUAUUUCAUGAAGCUAUAUAUUUCCUAAAUCUUCAUUUAAACCAGGGACAAAAUCUAUAUUUUUGUGAAACUUUUCAGUUAUACCAAAGCAGUAUGUUUUAUUCUGGAAACUCUUCCAGCGUAAAGAAAUUUGAUCAUUUGCACAGUUUUUCAAAUUUUCUUGAUUCUUACUGUAUAGUUUCCAUUUUUAAAGAGAAGUGAGUUAUCUUCUUUUACUGUCCUAUAGAGGCUGGGAAUCCCUAGAGUUACACGUUUACGACGUCAUACGCUUUUAGCCCGGACACGGCUGACUCCCCAUUUUGGUGAGAAUGUUUACAGGCAAACAGUCUCACGACUGAAAGUGCAGCUUUUACGUGUGCAUUUUGUGAGUAUAGGACUUGCGCACGCUGUGCACAGAGAAGCAAAAGCUUCGAAUUCAGCCUGCAGAGGAAGGAAUUUGUCUGUGCUACAGUGAAAGGAAGUAUUCGCCGUGUUAUUGUAGCGCAUGGCCUUUUGCCAUCUGUGAUAAAGUAUUUAAGGGUUGUGCACCCAAAGUCUGCUGCCCUCCUGACCCACCAUCAAUCACCGGCGGUACGCAAGGGUGGAUGAAACACCAGCCCCGUAGGAGAUCCAUUGUUUCAGCCCCACGCUGCUGCUCUGAAAGCGGAAGCCGUGGACAAAGCGUCUCCUCGUGAUUCCCCCACUGCGUAGCACCGCGGGUUCUUAUCCACGUGCACCUUCUCUGGCCCCAGUGGUACCAGCCGAGGGGUACAGGCAUACGUGGAAGCUGUGGGAGUGGAUGAGAUGAACCUCUGGGAUGUUUUUUUUCCAUAUGAAAAAAGGAAAACCAGAAACAAUUAUCAUAACACUGAGCCUGGGCUAUAUCUUUACAUUUAUUUCACUUCUGACUAUUUAGCACUGCUUAUAGAUGAGGUUUAAGACAGUGAAUGGCCCAUCAUAUUCACAGCAUGCUGUGAAUUGCCCAGCCUCUUUGCUUUUUUUUCUCUCUUCAAGCAGUUCUGGUUACAGAGAUGCCAGCAUCCCCAGUAAGUAUGCCAAGAAUGUACAGUUGUACUUUAUACUGCUAAAUUAACAGACAGGAAUAGUCACACCAAACCAGAUUCAGCUCCCAGAUGGGAAAGCAUCUCCUCUAGCCCAAAUUUUAAUUAUAUUUUUAUAUGAGAAAGUUUUUACCAAUAGAAAACAGAGUGUGAUUUAAAACCAGCGCUGUUGUCUUUCUAUGGUGAGGACAGGUAACUUGCAGAAAAUAGCGGUGAUUUUGGUUUUGAUGACUGACUUGGGGUUGGAAGAGCCUGGACAUUCAGAUACGUUAACUCUUCUCUUAGUCCUUUAAACUAUUUAAAAUUUUAAAAGUUUGUUUUUAGUUUAUUAUUUUUACUUUUCUGAGGACUAGUUUGAUGUGAAACAUAUGACCUGGUUCAUAGUUGCUUUGUUACAUAUUUCUGUGUGUGUAAUUAUGUUAGCUUUGUGAAUUUAGUUCCAAUUACAUUCAUGGAAGUGACAGGGAAAUAGAGUCCUAGGUCGUAUAACAGCAGUAUCAGAAGGGCUGACUCUGAUUGUUGCAGUAUGUGAUGCUGACGAUAUGAAGUAUUUUCACACACACAUUUCUGUCUCCUAACCAGGAAGGGCCUGCUCAUGGCAUUAUGAAAUCUGCAGUCUUUAUCAAUUUGUCUGUGACAGCUGAAAUAUCGUGGGAGAUUUCAGCCUCCUGCAAAUUUUAGCAACUGCGUUGUGAUGAAAUGAGAAUGAAGUUUUAUGAUUUAUUUAAAACAAGGGAAAGGUUCUUUCAUUUUUGCAGACAUCAUACUUAAGCUACACUGAAGUCCAUUGCCUGACUUCUCCUUGGAACUAUGUUUGGCUCCUGCCGUGAAACUGAGUGUGUUUCACCAGAAGAAAAAGUUGAGAGGAGCAUGCACAGGUGUUCAGGUGAGAAGAGGAGAAUUGUCCGUGUCUGUGCCAGCCACUGCAGACACCAGAGCUCUCAGCCAUUAUAGGUGCUCAGAUGUGUGCUCAGAGAGGUGCUUCAGACUGGAUUACUUUGUGCUGUGCUCAUGUUCAUGGUAUUUCUAGUUUUCAGUGCGCUGUACUGCUCUAUUCCUGUUUAUAAAUCUUUUAAGUGUGCACAUUAAAAAAGUAAUUAAAUUGUCAUUAUAAUUUAUAGUAUGCCUGAAGUCAAUCACCUAAUUAAACGGAAAGAGCAGAGAGGUAGUAGGUUCAUA